UAAUACGGAGGGUGCAAGCGUUAUCCGGAUUCACUGGGUUUAAAGGGUGCGUAGGCGGGCAGGUAAGUCAGUGGUGAAAUCUUCGAGCUUAACUCGGAAACUGCCAUUGAUACUAUUUGUCUUGAAUAUGGUGGAGGUGAGCGGAAUAUGUCAUGUAGCGGUGAAAUGCUUAGAUAUGACAUAGAACACCAAUUGCGUAGGCAGCUCACUACACCUAUAUUGACGCUGAGGCACGAAAGCGUGGGGAUCAAACAGGAUUAGAUACCCUGGUAGUCCACGCCCUAAACUAUGGAUACUCGACAUUUGCGAUACACAGUAAGUGUCUGAGCGAAAGCAUUAAGUAUCCCACCUGGGAAGUACGACCGCAAGGUUG
rnacentral:rRNA from 1 species